CAAUUUCGACCAUCACCGAAUAAACUCGCACCACAUUUGUGCAUUGCAUUCUUCGAUAAAAUUGUCAUUACGCCUUAAAUAAUUAGUGGUCGAUGGAUUAAAUGUCAAUAAGGCAACCAUUUAAAUCAAUUCCAAGAAUGGACUCUUUAUUCUCUAGAAGGACAACGAGAUGUCAACAUUUGGUUCGGGUAGAUUCAAAAGAUUGCUGUAAUAACACAUAAUCGGAUGAAAAUGGGACAACAUUAAUUUUUUGCUAAAACAGCAAAUACUUUCUUCGUUUUCAGAUGGUACGUUUAAAAUGGCCACCAAAUCCGGACUUAUGGCCUUUUUGAGAUUUAAGGGCUAAAUCCUGUGUUUUUUGCCGUUUUUACCAUACAAAAAUAAAUCCCAUUUUUGCAGGAUUUAUUUUUUAACCCUAAAUAAACUCGAUUUCAUGGUUGAAUAAUCGACAACAGUACCAAAUAUGCAACUGUUUUCAAGAAUUGAGAUAUGCCCAUUCAUGUUAAUGCAUGUACGCUUGUGUAUGUCACGUAAAUCCCCAAAAACGCAGUUUUCAAGCGGUUUUGACGAAAACCUUCCCAGGAGGCAAUAUUUCACUUAAUAAAACCUCGAAAAAUCAUCCUAGACCCAUGCAUGCUUAUGCAAAAAUUGGAAACUUUUUAGCCAGUGUAAAACUUUUGAAAAUUCAGUAAAAAGAAAAAAUGUGAUAUCGAUAUUAAGAUAACAUUGUGGUUUGAUAUCGAAAUUAAUGAACAUGAAAAGAAAUGAUAAUGCUUUGAUGGUCCAAGUCUACGGAAACUUGAAGGCAUUAGAUGUACGUUUUUCGGAAUAGUUUAAAAAUUGUUGACAAAAAAUAAUAUUUUUCCUAUGAAAAAAUGCAAUUUUUUAACCGCAAAAUAUUUUGACAUGAUUCUUCUUUUAAUGUGUGCACACAUAUACUGGCACGGAAAAAUCGAAGCAAAUUUUUGAUAUUUUAAAAUAAAACUAUUCAUAUUUCUUUAA